rnacentral:lncRNA from 1 species
AUGGAGGGGCACCUGAAGGAGGGAAAGCUAUCAGAGGAGAAAAUACGAUCAUUAGCAGAAAAGCUGGAAAAGGACAUGGUGGAGUACCAAAGGAGGCUUCAGGAAACUGUUGAUGAGAAAAUCAGGGCGGACAGAGAGAAACAGGAGGCACAGGAGCAGAUUAGCAAACUUCACUCAGAGUUGGUACGGGCACAGUCUAGUAACGCAAAUCUUCACCAAGAGAGUCGGCUGGUCUUGAGAAAUGUUCAUCUUUGGAUCACUGAGCAAAGGACUUCCUGUGAGAUCCUGCUGACCCAAAUGAAGGCCCAAAACCAGAAGCUGCUUAUUGAUGCUGCAGAAAUAACACACCUCCGGGAGGCUAAUGACACGUUGAAGGCGGAGAUGGGGAAACUAAAACAAGCGCUGGAUGAGAAGGAGCGAGACCCGGAAUGCUUCCAGGCUCAGAUCCGAGACCGGAGCAUGGGAGAAGACGGGAGAAAAAUGUCCUCUCACCGCAUUGGAAAGAAAAGUUGUGUUGCUCGAAACCUCAACAAAAUCGAGGACGUUCAUUCCAGACUGCAAAGCAACCAAGAGGCCAUCGGCAUGCUAAAUCAACAAUUAUACACCCUCUGCAGGGAGCACAGGCGGUUGCAUCAGCUGUAUGACCGUGCACAGACAACCAGGGCAACUUCCACUCACCCACCUCCCCUUCUCUCUUAGUACUCUCCCAUCUUCCAUCUCUGGUUCCUUAUCCCUGGAUCCUCCAAGGCCAGUGGUGUGACACAUGGAUGGGACUCCACCUCAGACUAAGUCUUCUCGGGGGAGAUCACAUGAUUUGCAUUGAUUCUAUCUUAUUUUUGCAAGUAGUUUUGACUCUUGAGGCGUCCUCUUUAGAAUACCAUCAGUUCGAUCAGAAUGAGAAUUAAUGGAUUUCCUGCAGGAAACUUUGUUCAGUUGUUCAACUCUUCUUCUACUGCCAUUCCAGCUGUUUGGCUGUUUAGUUUUAUCAUUAGCAAUGCCUGCUGAUUAUAGCAGUUUUUUUUUAUCAGAUGCCACCACCUAGAGGCAGAAAAAUGGCUUAGGACUUUUAAGACCCUCCCCCUGCUUCGUUGAUACAGCUGGAAGCAACGCCUCUCUUUGGUGAACUUUUACAAUCAGUAUUCUCGUGUUAAGCUGUUUAUUCAAAGAGUUGACAGAAUUGUCAAUGAGAAAUGUUGCCUACUCUGCAUCGGUUCAACAUUGAGGUGAACGCGGUGAUCCUUCCGCCGUUGAAAAGCAGGUCAAAGGUAAAGUCUUUGCAGGUUUUUGAGACACUUUUGAUGAGUUUGGUUAGCGGGAACUGGGCAGUCGUUGAAUUUCCAUUUGUUGUGGCUGAGAAGGUGGUGGCUGUUGUUCCGUGAUUCGCCGUGUCUUCACAGCUUUGGAAACAAAUAGAAAAUAUCAAUCUAGUAAUUCCUUAAGCUUGUGAUUGACAUGUGAGCGGCUGUAGAGCGCUACUAGCCAAGAAACGGUCAGCUCUAUGGAUUUCUAAAAAAAUCAUACAUAAUUCCUGAAAGGGAGAAGACUCCAGAUAGCAGUUUGAAGUGGGUGAAUGUUUUUCUUAUUAUAAUCAGUCACUCUCAGGCUGAACAUGAAUAUUCUCCUUCAUUAGCUUCUGAUAGAAAAUAGAUGGUCUAGAAUUUGAAAAUCCUGACAGAUCUACAGUCCAUCACUCUGUCAUUUUACAUUCGUGGACUCACCCAUCUUGAUUCAUGACGGGGAAGGCUGUUGUUGGUUUAGCGUCCAGAAAACAGCAGAGAACGUCUCAAUUAGUUUAAGUUAGCCAUUAGCAUUAGCAACUCCUUCAAACUUGUGUUAAUCGUGGAUAUAAAACAUCACCGCUGCAAGUCAGUGGUAGAGUCGCGUUGCUGUUAUCCAAUCUGAGGUGAGAUUUCCAACGUUAAGAAACAUCAGGUCUGAGAAAUGUUGCACCGCUCACCCCCAUGAGAACAACUUAAAAAGCAUUCACUUCUAUUAACUCAUUCGCUGCCAGCCGUUUCCUGGUCAGUAAAGUCCUUCGCUGCCAGCGUUUCUCACCGUUUUUACUGUUUUUUUUAAGAGUCACAGAACGUUGCGCGCUAGGUUGAUGUCGACGCUAAAACAACCAAAACAAAGCGGAGACUCACCUCUUACAUCAGGAAGAAUCCGCAUGUUUCGAGCGUUAUCCAUUCUCUCAUAAUCCGUUGUUGAAUUUAGAUCGGCAGAAGCUUUUCCGGUUCGCGUCUCACCUUUUUUACAGCAGCUGCCGAAAACGAUCUAACACAUGGAUUUUCUGCUUCCUGACCACGUGACGUGUGACGUAUGCGGAUGAAGAUCGGCUUUAGAGCGGAGAUGUUUGUUCUCACGGUGCGGGGACUCGUUCUGACGCCUACACAGUAAAAACAUGCAAAUGACGACUUUAGUCGUCACUGGCACGGUUGGAUUUAAAAUGGCGACU